AUACAGCUGACGAGUUCGAAAUAGAACGACACGUGUGUCCUGGAU
rnacentral:hammerhead_ribozyme from 1 species